rnacentral:rRNA from 1 species
GACGAACGCUGGCGGCGUGCUUAACACAUGCAAGUCGAACGAGAAUCACCGGAAGGAGUUUUCGGACAACGGAAGGUGAGGACAGUGGCGGACGGGUGAGUAACGCGUGAGGAACCUGCCUUUCAGAGGGGGACAACAGUUGGAAACGACUGCUAAUACCGCAUAACGCAUUAGUAUCGCAUGGUACGGAUGCCAAAGAUUUAUCGCUGAAAGAUGGCCUCGCGUCUGAUAGCUGGUUGGUGAGGUAACGGCCCACCAAGGCGACGAUCAGUAGCCGGACUGAGAGGUUGACCGGCCACAUUGGGACUGAGAUACGGCCCAGACUCCUACGGGAGGCAGCAGUGGGGAAUAUUGGGCAAUGGGCGCAAGCCUGACCCUGCAACGCCGCGUGAAGGAAGAAGGCUUUCGGGUUGUAAUCUUCUUUUGUCAGGGACGAGGAGAAGACGGUACCUGACGAAUAAGCCACGGCUAACUACGUGCCAGCAGCCGCGGUAAUACGUAGGUGGCAAGCGUUGUCCGGAUUUACUGGGUGUAAAGGGCGUGUAGCCGGGUUGGCAAGUCAGAUGUGAAAUCUAUGGGCUUAACUCAUAAACUGCAUUUGAAACUGUUGAUCUUGAGUAUCGGAGAGGCAAUCGGAAUUCCUAGUGUAGCGGUGAAAUGCGUAGAUAUUAGGAGGAACACCAGUGGCGUAGGCGGAAAGCUGGACGACAACUGACGGUGAGGCGCG